ACUCCCAAGCUCAUUUUAUGAGGUCAGUAUUAUCCUAAUUCCAAAACCAGAUAAAGACACUACAAAGAAAGAAAAUUAUAGGCCAAUAUCCCUGAUGAGCAUAGACAUUAAAAUCGUCAACGAAGUAUUAGCAAACCCAAUGCAGCAAUACAUCAAAAACAUCAAUACACCAUUAUC